rnacentral:lncRNA from 1 species
UCACCAGGUAGGCAGAAUAGUCUUAUAUAGCCAUUUGUUGUCCAGGGCAAUUUUGCCUAUUAAGUCUGUUUCCUCCCAGUUAACCUUCCUUCCAUGAGCCUCUGAAGCUUGAUGUCUGAACUCAGGGAUGGUUUGGAAACCCCUACUUAGGCAGUCUUGGGUCUUCUCAAAUACUGCAGUCUAAUACCAUGUCCUGCCUGCUCUAAAACUGACUCCUGCUCCUUCCGUCUGUUUUUCCCAGUUUACAGAUCUGGCUUGUGUAUUCACUCUCUACAUGUCUAUGUAAGUAACCACAUUCGCAUUGGCUGAGAAGUCAUCACUUGCAAAAUAGUCUUUAUUGAGUUCAAGAGCCAACAUGCUCUCUGGUCCUUCUAAUCCAGCUGUUCUCAACCUUGGCUGCACAUGGAAUCACUGAGGGAGGCCUUGGUCUGCAGUAAAGCCUACACACCUCCCCAGGACUAAGUACGGAUUUCUGAGUAUAACCAUGGAAGAAGACCCUCGAAAGGGAACUGCUGAGUUAAAGGAAAUGUGCCAUUUAUACUUUGGCUAAAUGUUCCCACACUUUCAUUCCUGAAGUUGUGCCAAUUUAUGUUGGUAGAAACAAUGUAUUAGAGCACUUUCCCCAUCAUCAUAAAUACAGUGACUUGGAAGCUAAGGCCCAGAGAGGAGGAGAAACUUGAUCAAAGUCAAUCAGACAAUGCAGAAUCGAGAAAAGUACCUGGACCUCUAUGCCCAUGCUUCUAGCAGCCAGCCUCCUAAAAUACCUCUAGUUGAAGCCAAAGUUAGAAUCCUUCUACGAAACUACAGGAUUAAAAUGGAAUGGUUACAUGACCCAGGCUUGACCAAUCAGAUCAUCCAAACCCUUUGCCACAGUGAUUGGUCCAGGGAUACAUGCAUGAGCCAGCUCAGGUGGCAUUGUAUUAUGCGCCAAGAGUGAACCAGAUAGAGGAAGUUGCUCCUUAAGCUUGCAGGUCUGAAAGAACAAGGAAUUGCCUCUCUUCAAAGAUAAGAAGUCCAGCCACUUCUUUAAUUUAUCGGAUUAUAAGGCCUAAGCCACACUCAUCUUGUGGAUGACACUGGAGCUGUGACAGUCUGUUCUGUCCAGGCAGGGUGUCUUUUAUUUUUAUUGGAAAUAAGAUUAUCACAGCCCUUUGAGAGCUUCUGUGUCUCAACAUCAGAAAAUCAUCCUAGAUCCAUACUUGUACACAACAGUCUGUGCCAGUGAGAUUCAUUCUUUUGGGAGCUCUGCUAAUAAUGCACGAAUUGCUGGCUGUUGAUACUCUUUCUCAUCAACUCCCCAAAUGGAAAUGCUUUCAACCACUGCAGAAGUAAAAAAUUACCCAAAGGCUGUAUGAUGCAAACUCUUUCUUUGGCUUUAUCUUACUGAUAAGAAUAAAAAUAACACCUCACGUAUGUAU